UGGGGCAGGGGGGCAGGAGGGGCUCAGGGAGAAAGCAUCUACAGCCCCUGGCCCUCUCUGCCCUUCCGUCCCCUGUCCCCAAAU
rnacentral:pre_miRNA from 1 species